rnacentral:rRNA from 1 species
GUACCGUGAGGGAAAGGUGAAAAGUACCCCGGGAGGGGAGUGAAAUAGUGCCUGAAACCGUGUGCCUACAAGCCGUUGGAGCCUGGAAGAUCUUCGGAUCAGGGUGACAGCGUGCCUUUUGAAGAAUGAGCCUGCGAGUUAUCGAUAUGUCGCGAGGUUAACCCGUGAGGGGUAGCCGUAGCGAAAGCGAGUCUGAAUAGGGCGACGCAGUGGCAUGUCAUAGACCCGAAGCGGAGUGAUCUACCCAUGGCCAGGUUGAAGCGAAGGUAAGACUUCGUGGAGGACCGAACCCACCUAGGUUGAAAACUGGGGGGAUGAGUUGUGGGUAGGGGUGAAAGGCCAAUCAAACUCCGUUAUAGCUGGUUCUCCCCGAAAUGCAUUUAGGUGCAGCGUCACGCGUUUCUUAUCGGAGGUAGAGCACUGGAUGAGCUAGGGGGCCCAAAAGCUUACUGAACCCAACCAAACUCCGAAUGCCGAUAAGUUAGAGCGUGGCAGUGAGACUGCGGGCGAUAAGGUUCGUAGUCGAGAGGGAAACAGCCCAGACCACCAACUAAGGCCCCCAAGCGUAUGCUAAGUGGGAAAGGAUGUGGAGUCGCAUAGACAACCAGGAGGUUGGCUUAGAAGCAGCCACCCUUGAAAGAGUGCGUAAUAGCUCACUGGUCAAGUGAUUCCGCGCCGACAAUGUAACGGGGCUCAAGCAUACCGCCGAAGUUGUGGCAUUUAUACCAAUAACCCGGCCGCAAGGUCCAGGUGUAUAGAUGGGUAGGGGAGCGUCGUGUGGCCAGCGAAGCGGCGGGGUAACCCAGCCGUGGAGGCCACACGAGUGAGAAUGCAGGCAUGAGUAGCGAAUGACGGGUGAGAAACCCGUCCGCCGGAUGAUCAAGGGUUCCAGGGCUAGGCUAAUCCGCCCUGGGUAAGUCUGGACCUAAGGCGAGGCCGACAGGCGUAGUCGAUGGACAACGGGUUGAUAUUCCCGUACCGGUGUUAACGCGCCCAUGACGAGCCUCAUAAUGCUAAGAGUAUGAAGCGAGGAUCUCCUUCGGGAGUGAAAACGUGGAGCACUCGAACCGAACUAGUAGUAGUCAAACGAUGGGGUGACGCAGGAAGGUAGCUUAACCGCGGCGAUGGUAGUCCGCGGCCAAGGUUGUAGGGCGAGAUAUAGGUAAAUCCGUAUCUCACAUAGCCUGAGAACUGAUGGGGAGCCGAUUGUGGCGAAGUAAGUGAUCCUAUGCUGCCGAGAAAAGCCUCUAGUGAGUGUUAACGCCGCCAGUACCCCAAACCAACACAGGUGAUCAGGUAGAGAAUACUAAGGCGAUCGAGUGAACUAUGGUUAAGGAACUCGGCAAAAUACCCCCGUAACUUCGGGAGAAGGGGGGCCAAAUCUGGUGUAGGGGCUUGCCCCCGAAGCUGGAAGUGGCCGCAGAGACCAGGCUGAAGCGACUGUUUACUAAAAACACAGGUCCAUGCAAAGUUGCAAAACGACGUAUAUGGACUGACUCCUGCCCGGUGCUGGAACGUUAAGGGGACCGGUUAGCUCUUCGGAGCGAAGCUGAGAACUUAAGCGCCAGUAAACGGCGGUGGUAACUAUAACCAUCCUAAGGUAGCGAAAUUCCUUGUCGGGUAAGUUCCGACCUGCACGAAUGGAGUAACGACUUCAGCGCUGUCUCAACCAUAGGCUCGGCGAAAUUGCACUACGAGUAAAGAUGCUCGUUACGCGUGGCAGGACGGAAAGACCCCGGGACCUUUACUAUAGCUUGGUAUUGGUGGUCGAUUCAAUUUGUGUAGGAUAGGUGGGAGACUUUGAAGCAUGGACGCUAGUUCGUGUGGAGUCAUCGUUGAAAUACCACUCUGAUUGUAUUGGCUGUCUAACCUCGAACCGUGAUCCGGUUUAGGGACAGUGCCUGGUGGGUAGUUUAACUGGGGCGGUUGCCUCCCAAAAAGUAACGGAGGCGCUCAAAGGUUCCCUCAGCCUGGUUGGUAAUCAGGUGUCGAGUGCAAGUGCACAAGGGAGCUUGACUGUGAGACUGACAAGUCGAGCAGGGACGAAAGUCGGAACUAGUGAUCCGGCGUCGGCAAGUGGAAGCGGCGUCGCUCAACGGAUAAAAGGUACCCCGGGGAUAACAGGCUGAUCUUGCCCAAGAGUCCAUAUCGACGGCAUGGUUUGGCACCUCGAUGUCGGCUCGUCGCAUCCUGGGGCUGGAGUCGGUCCCAAGGGUUGGGCUGUUCGCCCAUUAAAGCGGCACGCGAGCUGGGUUUAGAACGUCGUGAGACAGUUCGGUCCCUAUCCGCCACGCGCGUAAGAGUCUUGAGGAGAUCUGUCCCUAGUACGAGAGGACCGGGACGGACGAACCUCUGGUGUGCCAGUUGUCCUGCCAAGGGCACGGCUGGUUAGCUACGUUCGGAAGGGAUAACCGCUGAAAGCAUCUAAGCGGGAAGCCCACUCCAAGAUAAGGGCUCUCACUGGUUUACCAGGUAAGGACCCCAGCUAGACGACUGGGUUGAUAGGCCGGAUGUGGAAGCACAGCAAUGUGUGGAGCUGACCGGUACUAAUAGUCCGAGGACUUGCUUAC